rnacentral:rRNA from 1 species
CCAACAGGGAUUGCCCCAGUAACGGCGAGUGAAGCGGCAACAGCUCAAAUUUGAAAUCUGGCUCUCGGGCCCGAGUUGUAAUUUGUAGAGGAUGCUUUUGGUGAGGUGCCUUCCGAGUUCCCUGGAACGGGACGCCAUAGAGGGUGAGAGCCCCGUCUGGUUGGACACCGACCCUCUGUAAAGCUCCUUCGACGAGUCGAGUAGUUUGGGAAUGCUGCUCUAAAUGGGAGGUAUAUGUCUUCUAAAGCUAAAUACCGGCCAGAGACCGAUAGCGCACAAGUAGAGUGAUCGAAAGAUGAAAAGAACUUUGAAAAGAGAGUUAAAAAGUACGUGAAAUUGUUGAAAGGGAAGCGCUUGUGACCAGACUUGGGCUUGGUUGAUCAUCCGGGGUUCUCCCCGGUGCACUCUUCCGGCCCAGGCCAGCAUCAGUUCGCCCUGGGGGACAAAGGCUUCGGGAAUGUGGCUCUCUCCGGGGAGUGUUA